CCUACGGGAGGCUGCAGUGGGGAAUAUUGGACAAUGGGCGAAAGCCUGGUCCAGCCAUGCCGCGUGUGUGAAGAAGGCCUUCGGGUUGUAAAGCACUUUCAGUGGGGAAGAAAGCCUUGGGGCUAAUACCCUCGAGGAAGGACAUCACCCACAGAAGAAGCACCGGCUAACUCCGUGCCAGCAGCCGCGGUAAUACGGAGGGUGCGAGCGUUAAUCGGAAUUACUGGGCGUAAAGCGCGCGUAGGCGGUCUGAUAAGCCGGUUGUGAAAGCCCCGGGCUCAACCUGGGAACGGCAUCCGGAACUGUCAGGCUAGAGUGCAGGAGAGGAAGGUAGAAUUCCCGGUGUAGCGGUGAAAUGCGUAGAGAUCGGGAGGAAUACCAGUGGCGAAGGCGGCCUUCUGGACUGACACUGACGCUGAGGUGCGAAAGCGUGGGUAGCAAACAGGAUUAGAUACCCCGGUAGUC
rnacentral:rRNA from 1 species